GUACACGCUGUGACUAGCAUAUCAAUAAGCGGAGGAAAAGAAACUAACAAGGAUUCCCUCAGUAACGGCGAGUGAAGCGGGAAGAACUCAAAUUUGAAAUCUUGAAAGGUCACCUUUCACGAAUUGUAGUUUAAAGAAGUGUUUUCUGUUACGAUCGUAAUAUAAGUUCUUUGGAAUAGGACAUCACAGAGGGUGAGAAUCCCGUCUAUGAUUGCGAUUUGUAGCUUUGUGAUACACUUUCAAAGAGUCGGGUUGUUUGGGAAUGCAGCCCAAAACGGGAGGUAAAUUUCUUCUAAGGCUGAAUAUUGGCGAGAGACCGAUAGCGAACAAGUACCGUGAGGGAAAGAUGAAAAGAACUUUGAAAAGAGAGUUAAAUAGUACGUGAAAUUGUCAAAAGGGAAGCGUUUAACACCAGUGUUGUUUUCUGAAAAUCAACCUCUGUUAGCUUUAUGCAUGUUUGUUUAGACCUAAUCAGCUAUCUUGCAUGUUCUAUUGUUUGCAGUGGUGCACUUUUCAGUUUACAGGUCAACAUCAGUUUUUUUUACCGUAAAAAAGUUAAAGAAAGGUAGCUCAUGGCUCCGGUCGUGAGUGUUAUAGUCUUUUUCCUAUGCGGUAGGAGAGACUGAGGUCUGCAGUGUAGGCUAUUUGGCUAGAUACUCAGGUGCUAUGUGAUACCAUUUCAUAAACAACUUGUUGAUUAUGUUUUGUCUAUUGCAUACUCGCUUGUACUAUCAUACCUACGCUUAGGAUGUUGAGUAGCGACAUACGCAC
rnacentral:rRNA from 1 species